rnacentral:rRNA from 1 species
AGCGAACGCUGGCGGCAGGCUUAACACAUGCAAGUCGAACGGUCCUUCGGGAUAGUGGCGGACGGGUGAGUAACACGUGGGAACGUACCCUUAGGUUCGGAACAACACAGGGAAACUUGUGCUAAUACCGGAUAAGCCCUUCGGGGGAAAGUUUUAGCGCCUUUGGAGCGGCCCGCGUCUGAUUAGCUUGUUGGUGAGGUAAUGGUUCACCAAGGCUACGAUCAGUAGCUGGUCUGAGAGGAUGGCCAGCCACACUGGGACUGAGACACGGCCCAGACUCCUACGGGAGGCAGCAGUGGGGAAUCUUGCGCAAUGGGCGAAAGCCUGACGCAGCAAUGCCGCGUGAGUGAUGAAGGCCUUAGGGUUGUAAAGCUCUUUUACCCGGGGUGAUAAUGACAGUACCGGGAGAAUAAGCUCCGGCUAACUCCGUGCCAGCCGCCGCGGUAA